rnacentral:rRNA from 1 species
AGCGAACGCUGGCGGCAGGCCUAACACAUGCAAGUCGAACGGAUCCUUCGGGAUUAGUGGCGGACGGGUGAGUAACACGUGGGAACGUGCCCUUUGGUUCGGAACAACUCAGGGAAACUUGAGCUAAUACCGGAUGUGCCCUUCGGGGGAAAGAUUUAUCGCCAUUGGAGCGGCCCGCGUCUGAUUAGAUAGUUGGUGGGGUAAAGGCCCACCAAGGCGACGAUCAGUAGCUGGUCUGAGAGGAUGAUCAGCCACAUUGGGACUGAGACACGGCCCAAACUCCGACGGGAGGCAGCAGUGGGGAAUCUUGCGCAAUGGGCGAAAGCCUGACGCAGCCAUGCCGCGUGAAUGAUGAAGGUCUUAGGAUUGUAAAAUUCUUUCACCGGGGACGAUAAUGACGGUACCCGGAGAAGAAGCCCCGGCUAACUUCGUGCCAGCCGCCGCCGCCGUAA